rnacentral:rRNA from 1 species
AGAGUUUGAUCAUGGCUCAGGACGAACGCUGGCGGCGUGCCUAAUACAUGCAAGUCGAGCGAGCUUGCCUAGAUGAUUUUGGUGCUUGCACUAAAUGAAACUAGAUACAAGCGAGCGGCGGACGGGUGAGUAACACGUGGGUAACCUGCCCAAGAGACUGGGAUAACACCUGGAAACAGAUGCUAAUACCGGAUAACAACACUAGACGCAUGUCUAGAGUUUGAAAGAUGGUUCUGCUAUCACUCUUGGAUGGACCUGCGGUGCAUUAGCUAGUUGGUAAGGUAACGGCUUACCAAGGCAAUGAUGCAUAGCCGAGUUGAGAGACUGAUCGGCCACAUUGGGACUGAGACACGGCCCAAACUCCUACGGGAGGCAGCAGUAGGGAAUCUUCCACAAUGGACGAAAGUCUGAUGGAGCAACGCCGCGUGAGUGAAGAAGGGUUUCGGCUCGUAAAGCUCUGUUGGUAGUGAAGAAAGAUAGGGGUAGUAACUGGCCUUUAUUUGACGGUAAUUACUUAGAAAGUCACGGCUAACUACGUGCCAGCAGCCGCGGUAAUACGUAGGUGGCAAGCGUUGUCCGGAUUUAUUGGGCGUAAAGCGAGUGCAGGCGGUUCAAUAAGUCUGAUGUGAAAGCCUUCGGCUCAACCGGAGAAUUGCAUCAGAAACUGUUGAACUUGAGUGCAGAAGAGGAGAGUGGAACUCCAUGUGUAGCGGUGGAAUGCGUAGAUAUAUGGAAGAACACCAGUGGCGAAGGCGGCUCUCUGGUCUGCAACUGACGCUGAGGCUCGAAAGCAUGGGUAGCGAACAGGAUUAGAUACCCUGGUAGUCCAUGCCGUAAACGAUGAGUGCUAAGUGUUGGGAGGUUUCCGCCUCUCAGUGCUGCAGCUAACGCAUUAAGCACUCCGCCUGGGGAGUA